GUCACUUUGCCGGAGUGGUUAACGGGAUCGCCUGCUAUUGUAGCAAAGUAGCGGUUGGGCUUUGCCCGCGUGUGUUCGAAUCGCACAGGUGACG
rfam:Gloeophyllum trabeum ATCC 11539 unplaced genomic scaffold GLOTRscaffold_00001, whole genome shotgun sequence.